GCGUCCUUUGGUUUAGUAGCCAUGCAGUCGAAUGGGAUACCUAAAUUUCCCAUGGCAAACUGCUCAGUAACACAUGAUCAACUUACCCUAUAGAGAGAUACAACCUCGGGAAACUGAGGAUAAUGUCUCAUAGUUGAAUUGGCUUGGAAAAGUUUUUCAAUAAAAGGAAUAAGAAAAAUGGUUCUUAUUUGCUAUAGGAUAGGAUCGUGCUCGAUUAUGGUUGUUGGCGAGAUAAUGGCUCACCAAGCCGAUAAUCGAUAGGGGCCGUGAGAGCGGGAGCCCCGAGAUGGGUACUGAGACAACGACCCAGGCCUUACGAGGCGCAGCAGGCGCGAAACCUCCGCAAUACAUGCAAGUGUGACGGGGUUACCCAAAGUGUUCAAUAUUGAACUGUGGUAGGUGAGUAAUGUUCCCUACUAGAAAGGAGAGGGCAAGGCUGGUGCCAGCCGCCGCGGUAAAACCAGCUCUUCAAGUGGUCGGGAUAAUUAUUGGGCUUAAAGUGUCCGUAGCUGGUUUAGUAAGUUCCUGGUAAAAUCGGGUAGCUUAACUAUCUGUAUGCUAGGAAUACUGCUAUACUAGAGGGCGGGAGAGGUCUGAGGUACUACAAGGGUAGGGGUGAAAUCUUAUAAUCCUUGUAGGACCACCAGUGGCGAAGGCGUCAGACUGGAACGCGCCUGACAGUGAGGGACGAAAGCCAGGGGAGCGAACCGGAUUAGAUACCCGGGUAGUCCUGGCCGUAAACGAUGCAUACUAGGUGAUGGCACGGUCAUGAGCCGUGUCAGUGCCGUAGGGAAACCGUUAAGUGUGCCGCCUGGGAAGUACGGUCGCAAGGCUAAAACUUAAAGGAAUUGGCGGGGGAGCACCACAAAGGGUGAAGCCUGCGGUUCAAUUGGAUUCAACGCCGGG
rnacentral:rRNA from 1 species